GAUGAACGCUGGCGGCGUGCCUAAUACAUGCAAGUCGAGCGAACGGACGAGAAGCUUGCUUCUCUGUUGUUAGCGGCGGACGGGUGAGUAACACGUGGAUAACCUACCUAUAAGACUGGGAUCACCUCGGGAAACCGGAGCUAAUACCGGAUGAUCUUUUGAACCGCAUGGUUCAAAAGUGAAAGACGGUCUUGCUGUCACUUAUAGCUGGAUCUGCGCUGCAUUAGCUGGUUGGUACGGUAAAGGCUUACCAGGGCAACGAUGCGUAGCCGACGUGAGGGGGGGAUAGGCCACACGGGAGCGGGGACACGGUCCAGGCGCCUACGGGAGGGAGCAGAAGGGAAUCUGCCGCAGUGGGCGAGAGCCUUACAGAGCAACGCCGCGUGAGUGGUGAAGGUCUUCGGAGCGUAAAGCUCUGUUAUUAGGUAAGAACAGAUGUGUAAGGAACUGUGCACAUCUUGACGGUACCUAGUCAGAAAGCCACGGCUAACUACGUG
rnacentral:rRNA from 1 species